rnacentral:rRNA from 1 species
UACAGAGGUCCCAAGCGUUGUUCGGAUUCACUGGGCGUAAAGGGUGCGUAGGCGGUCGGGUAAGUCUGAUGUGAAAUCUCACAGCUUAACUGUGAAACUGCAUUGGAUACUAUCCGGCUCGAGGAAAUGGAGGGGGAAAACUGGAAUACUUGGUGUAGCAGUGAAAAUGCGUAGAUAUCAAAGUGGAACACCCAGUGGCGAAGGCGAGUCUCUGGACAUUUUCCUGACGUAAAGGCACGAAAAGCCAGGGGG